rnacentral:rRNA from 1 species
GACGAACGCUGGCGGCGUGCCUAAUACAUGCAAGUCGAACGAGUGGCGGACGGGUGAGUAACACGUGGGUAACCUACCCAUCAGAGGGGAUAACACUUGGAAAAAGGUGCUAAAACCGCAAAUUGAUGGAUGGAACCGCGGGGCAUUAGCUAGUAGGUGAGGUAACGGCCCCCCAAGGCCACGAUGGAUAGCCGACCUGAGAGGAUGACCAGCCACACUGGAACUGAGACACGGUCCAGACUCCUACGGGAGGCAGCAGUGGGGGAUAUUGCACAAUGGGCGCAAGCCUGAUGCAGCCAUGCCGCGUGUAUGAAGAAGGCCUUCGGGUUGUAAAGUACUUUCAGCGGGGAGGCGUUACCCGCAGAAGAAGCACCGGCUAACUCCGUGCCAGCAGCCGCGGUAAUAC